UUCUGGUCCAAUCUCCUACUCAAGCAGGAUACCCUACACCAGGGGUGUCAAACUUGCAAUGUCACGUGACGUGUCGCGACAUAUUGCAAUUUUUUUGCCAUUGCCAGCAAUGGGGUGAAUGUGGUUUUGCCGUGAUGCAUCUGGCCCAUGGGCCAGCAGUUUGACAUCCCUGCCCUACCCCAUUCUGGAUAAAUGGCUGUCCAAUCUCUUCUUAAAAACCUCCAGCCUCAACUUUGGAAGACAAGCUGGUUAAUUAUUCUUAUUGUCAGGAAAUUUCUCCUUAGUUAUAGAUUGCUUCUCUCCUUGGUAAGUUUCCAUCUGUUACAUGUCCUGCCCUCAAGUGCUUCGAAGAAUAGCUUGAUCCCCUCCCUCUUCUCCGUGACAGCCCCUCAAAGAUUGGAAGACUGCUGUAAAUUAAAGCUAAAGUGACAUGUCUGCUGUUACAGGUUCCAGUACUUGCUUAUUAGUCACUUUGGCAUCACUGGUUGUUUUGAACUAGGUGAGAGGAACAAUGCAGGUGAUCUUUUGGUACAAUUUUGCCAAGAAAACAGAUUCAGGAUCAUGAAUAUCUAGUUCAAGCAGCACAAGAGCUGCUUGGACCUCACCAAAUGGACUUCACCAUAAUCAGAUUGACUGUGUCCUAUGCAGUCAUCGAUGGACUAGCUCAGUCCUUGCUGCUAAGACAUAUAUCCAAGUGCUGAUUGCAGAUCAGAUCAUGACUUGGUGGCAAAGAUUAAAGUCAAAUUAUACACCAUCAAAAAAGCAAUGCCUUCAAAGAUGUCAUCAAAAUCCCUACUGCAUAUACAAUAGAGGUGAAAAAUUGGUUUGAACUACUGGACACUGCUGAGAAAACUCCUGAUGAACUGGGAUAGAAAAUUCAAUUGGCCGUUAUUGGAAUUGUAGAAGAACACAUACCACUUACAGGGCUACAGGAAUAUAAAAGACUCUUAGAACAGGACACAACACCUCAGACAAUCUGAAGAUUAAAGGACACAUCCUCACACAUACUCAAGAAACAUUUCACAACUAAUCGAAAAUAUUUCAAUUUCAAAGCCCUAAAACUAUAUAAAAAAUGUACUCAUCAGGUUAUUUUUUUGGUCAGCCACCUGAGAAGCAUGCUGCUGUCACUGAUGUUUCUGGCUACCAAAUAAAUAGAGACCUAAAAUUGCAA